rnacentral:rRNA from 1 species
GAUGAACGCUGGCGGCGUGCCUAAUACAUGCAAGUCGAGCGAACGGACGAGAAGCUUGCUUCUCUGAUGUUAGCGGCGGACGGGUGAGUAACACGUGGAUAACCUACCUAUAAGACUGGGAUAACUUCGGGAAACCGGAGCUAAUACCGGAUAAUAUUUUGAACCGCAUGGUUCAAAAGUGAAAGACGGUCUUGCUGUCACUUAUAGAUGGAUCCGCGCUGCAUUAGCUAGUUGGUAAGGUAACGGCUUACCAAGGCAACGAUGCAUAGCCGACCUGAGAGGGUGAUCGGCCACACUGGAACUGAGACACGGUCCAGACUCCUACGGGAGGCAGCAGUAGGGAAUCUUCCGCAAUGGGCGAAAGCCUGACGGAGCAACGCCGCGUGAGUGAUGAAGGUCUUCGGAUCGUAAAACUCUGUUAUUAGGGAAAGACAUAUGUGUAAGUAACUGUGCACAUCUUGACGGUACCUAAUCAGAAAGCCACGGCUAACUACGUGCCAGCAGCCGCGGUUAUACCUAAGUGGCAAGCGUAUCCGGGAUUUAUGGGCGUAAAGCGCGCGUAGCGGUUUUUUAGUCUGAUGUGAAAGCCCACGGCUCAACCGUGGAGGGUCAUUGGAAACUGGAAAACUUGAGUGCAGAAGAGGAAAGUGGAAUUCCAUGUGUAGCGGUGAAAUGCGCAGAGAUAUGGAGGAACACCAGUGGCGAAGGCGACUUUCUGGUCUGUAACUGACGCUGAUGUGCGAAAGCGUGGGGAUCAAACAGGAUUAGAUACCCUGGUAGUCCACGCCGUAAACGAUGAGUGCUAAGUGUUAGGGGGUUUCCGCCCCUUAGUGCUGCAGCUAACGCAUUAAGCACUCCGCCUGGGGAGUACGACCGCAAGGUUGAAACUCAAAGGAAUUGACGGGGACCCGCACAAGCGGUGGAGCAUGUGGUUUAAUUCGAAGCAACGCGAAGAACCUUACCAAAUCUUGACAUCCUUUGACAACUCUAGAGAUAGAGCCUUCCCCUUCGGGGGACAAAGUGACAGGUGGUGCAUGGUUGUCGUCAGCUCGUGUCGUGAGAUGUUGGGUUAAGUCCCGCAACGAGCGCAACCCUUAAGCUUAGUUGCCAUCAUUAAGUUGGGCACUCUAAGUUGACUGCCGGUGACAAACCGGGGGAAGGUGGGGAUGACGUCAAAUCAUCAUGCCCCUUAUGAUUUGGGCUACACACGUGCUACAAUGGACAAUACAAAGGGCAGCGAAACCGCGAGGUCAAGCAAAUCCCAUAAAGUUGUCCUCAGUUCGGAUUGUAGUCUGCAACUCGACUACAUGAAGCUGGAAUCGCUAGUAAUCGUAGAUCAGCAUGCUACGGUGAAUACGUUCCCGGGUCU